GUUACCCUCGACGAUUGUGCUGCUUCCUGUGUAAACUACUUUCACAUCUGUGGGGGCAUCUGAUGAAAUGUGUUAAAUAUAAAAUAUUUUUACAAGUACGGCCUCAUUUUUAUAUCCUGUAAUACAGGGAAUUUUUUUUAAGCAAACGACCAGAAGAAAACAGAGCUCUUGGCAGAUUGAAGGCUACAUGAGAGACUUUGACAAUGAUACACCUACCUCCUCCAGAGUGUUCUUGACUUGGCUAGAUGUUGUGAAGGGGUUUUUCUUCACCAAGGAAAGAAUUCUGCAUUCAUCCACUUAGUUGUCUUCCAUGGUCUUCCAGGCCUUUUGGUUUGCCUAACGAUGACCUCCUUCACUUGCAUCGACAGCUCUUCGGACCGCAUAUUGAGAGUUCCCAUGAACAGCUACCAAAUGCAAAUUCAACAUUUGGAAUCAACUCCAGAUCUUUUAUCUCCUUAAUUUGUCAUGAAAUAAUGAGGAAACAGGCCACACCCAGGGAACUCCUUAUCAGUCAAUUGUACAAUUACUAUUGAGCCUGUGAAAAUGGAGGGACUCCAUGUACAAAAUGGCUGUAAUUCCCAAACAGUUAAUGCAAUAUUUUUGUUAAACCCCUUGAAUUAAAGUCUGAAAGUCUACACUUCAGUCAAAUCUUGAUUGCUUCAUUUCAAAUCCAUUGUGGUGUUGUACAGGGGCAAAAUUAUGAAAAUUGUGUCACUGUCCAAAUACAUAUGGACCUGACUGUAGCUCUAAAUUUUCCAUACAGUGUCUUGCAUAAGU